UUAAUUUAUUAAAAAAAAAGAAUAAAUACACAGUACAAAAGGAAAAAAAAUCCUAAUCUGGUCUUGUCUACCCUGCUCAAAACUCUGCAGGGGCUUCCUGCUGUUCUUAGGAUAACGUCCAGCCUCUCGGACUGAGCACAGUCCCCUUCCUUACUCCCUACCCUCCAACGCCUCAUCCUCAGCGGACCGCCUCCUGCUCCACCACCACUCCACAUUCCAGCCCCCGUCAACCUCUUCCUGUUCAGUAGAUGGCCGGCCAGUGGACUCUCUUCUCCCUGCCUCUCAUUUCCCCAGCCCCACACAUGCCAUCCCCUGUAGAUCGAACAUUCACUUCAUUUGCCUGAUUCCUACCUAUGUUCAGCUGUCAGGUUCAGUGGAGAGCAAUUUCCAUUUAACCUGAGGAGUACCUGGAUGAAAAGGCACUGUUCACAGAACUUUUUACUGAAUAGAAGUGAUGGAGACUUCAUUAUAAAUUGCUCAAAUGGGCAGAUAUUUUACUCUGGUUCCCAGUGAGCUAAUUGGAAAUGCAAUCGGACAGCCCAGUUUCUCUGGAAAAGAAUAGGAUUGCAUAGAAUAGGAUUACAUACGGCAAAGAUCAUACCUCAAUUUAUGUGGCGCCUGUGAUGCAUUUGAACUCGGAGUUUGGAAUGUGGCACACACUUUCCUGAUGCCUAGGGGUCCUACCUUCCAGUGAGGAGGGAUAAACAGAAACAUGGAAAGAUUAUGUCACUUUAUGGCACCUGUGACCCAGGAAAUUAAGCAGCCCUUCAGCUGCCUCCCUUGGACUUUGUCUUGAUGAGCUCAUUUUUCCACUGUGAAGUGCCAUCUGAGUUUUCUGUUAGGACAAGAGGAAGGGUUGUAACUGGUCUUUCCUUUACAGCGGGUCGGAUUUAUUAGUCGCUGUGGCCAUCAAGGAGGCUAGCUGCCUGCACCUAUGGGAACUCUCCAAGGGAGUCUGACAGUGCCUUCAUAUCGCUCCCUAGGGGCCCCUACCAGGUGUCAGCAACCCCUGGAGAAAACUAUGUCGGUUCCUACAGCGUCCAGUGGAGAGUGUGAACCCACUGCUGGUUCAACAUGCCAUAGGCUCAACUGUGAGGAUUAACCUCACUCAGUACAGCCCCUCUGAACACAGCACACCUCGGUAUGAGAUGAAGUGUGUGCCUUGGACGAAAGAAAAGAUGGAACCACUCAUCCAACCAGCACUACCCCAACCCCCAAGCCCGGCCAGAGGGUGGGACUAGACUCCUAGGCGCCUGGCAUACUUCCCUCUGUCGCUGGCGUGUCCCUAACACAGGGCACGGUGUGAUGGGCUCUCCCUGCAGCCUAGCUUGAGGAACUAAGGUGUGCGGGGCAUAUACAGUUUGAUUCCCCAAAGACUCAGGUCUUUGGUAAGUGCCAAAGCCCACCUUCUGUAGACAGGAAAACAAACUGAAAGGCGUUAGGUUGCUGAAGCAGGAGAGGGUGGAUCUGGGAAGCACACCUCCUUUUUGCCUGACUCCAAAGCCAGUCUUUGCACUCACAGUGACACAGCGGGGUUGUGUUUCAGGUGCUGAAAUGCAGAUACUGUUCCAUGAUUCCAUAGUCAUCAUGGUCCCAACACCAUGUCCACCUUGAAAUGCAGGCACCCAGCAGGGUAUAAAGCAACCCCCAAAGGUUCUAAGACUCUGCCUCUGCCCUGUGAGGAGCUGCCCUGAAGCAGCAGAUCUGGAGUCCCUUAGCAUGGAAGGCUUGCCUCAGAGCCGACAGCCAAGCAGGACCUCAGCUUCCAGGGUUCCCGCAGAGAGAUCCUUUGUCUUAAUAGAGAGACUUUUGGAGUCAACCCCACCCCACAAAUUAGGUCUCCACCAGUCUCGUUCUGUUUAUCAGAUAUGAACUGAGAGACAAUCAGAGGCAGAGGAAGUACUUUCAGUGGCCGCAUCACGGUUGUGGAGCUGGCCGAACUGCAAUGGUGGAUUGGAGCUCAGUAGACCAAGGAUUGAAAUCUGGCUCUACCUGUGGGGAAUCUCUCGGUUCUUGAGCUUGCGUGUCUGUAAAAUGUGGGUGAUCGGGGGAUCCCUGGGUGGUGCAGCGGUUUGGCGCCUGCCUUUGGCCCAGGGCGCGAUCCUGGAGACCCGGGAUCGAAUCCCACGUCAGACUCCUGGUGCAUGGAGCCUGCUUCUCCCUCUGCCUGUGUCUCUGCCUCUCUCUCUCUAUCUGUGUGACUGUCAUAAAUAAAUAAAGAUUAAAAAAAAAUAAAAGGCUGUUGAUAAAAAAAAAAAAUGUGGGUGAUCGGAGUGCCUACCGCCUCAGCAUCCUCACCCCUGAGAAGUGGUCCUGACCAAACACACGCACGUACAGGUAGGUAGGGGUAAGAUGCCCUCCUCUGUGUACCUGAGGUACCAUGACUUAAAUUCCGCCAUUCUCUCUUCUCACAAGACAUGUGGUGGCUAUCUGCUGGCAGGCUAUAGCUAACUCAUCCCUGCGUCCCCAAUCCGUGUUCAGUAAACAGACACAUGGUUUGAGGUGGUGCUUAGAACAUGUUUCUUCAAUGAGUGAAGGACCUUGACCCAAGGUGACAUUGUAACUUCAUGAUAAAGGGUAGUUAUUGUGCCAGUUAUUUCUCUCUUACAAAUGAUGUGGAGAGUGGAGCACCUGGGUGGCUCAGUGGUUGAGCAUCUGCCUUUGCAUCAGGUCAUGAUCCCAGGGUCCUGGGAUCGAGUCCUGCAUCGGGCUCCCUGUGGGAAGCCUACUUCUCCCUCUGCCUAUGCCUCUGCCUCUCUCUGUGUGUCUCUCAUGAAUAAAUACGUAAAACCUUUAAAAAAAAAUGACGCGGGGGAAUGGUGUAAACAAGACAUCUCUGUAUUCUGAUUCUUUUUGGGAGGUGGAGGAAGAUUGCAUCUUUUGUAGCAACUUAAAUUGCAGAUGCUUACAAAAAGGAGGUUACACGGGUAUUUUAAUUGUGUGGGUCACUCUGUUGCCCCAUUCAUUAGUCACAGUUGUGAUCUCACGGUGGAACGUGGGUCAAGAUCCUUGGAACAUCAGUCAGCUCAGAGAAUGUUUUCCAAGUACCAAAAGUUACCAGUGCACAUAGUAGGUGCGCACAAAGACCUGUCCAAGAGGUGGACUGUUGAGUGAAUCCAGACUGCUAAUUAAGUGUGUGAUGCUGUGGCUAGAGCACAGCUGCCCUUGGAGACAGGGAUGUGGGCACCAGGUGAAGGGGGUGUCAGUGCAGAUGAAUGCUGUCAGCCUCGGAAGGAGGCGCUCCUCCUCACUGUCCUUCCAGCCCUUUGCCCAAACCUGCCUCUCUCUGAAUGGUCUUCUCCGUGUCCCUCCUCUGCCUGACUUACAGCCUGAUACAGGUUGUCACUCAGCAUCUGUGAUCCGUGGGUGUCCUUUGUGGUCCAGCUGGCUGAGUAGAAGCCUGUCACCCUCUGCUCUCCCCACUUCCUGUGAGGCUCUCACUCUCUGCCCCUGCCCCCAGUGGCCCAGCCUCCUGGCAGCCUCUGCUUCAUACACUUCUUCCCAGCUGUUCCCUCUUGUCUGGAAAGUCCUGACCCCAGAUGUCUGCUUGUCAGGCUUCUCUCCCCGUUCACAUCUUUGUUGAAAGGUCGCCUCCUCGUGAAGCCUGAGCUCACUCCCUAGGGGUAACUUUGUAGGUUAGACUGUGGGGCUCACAGAUAAUCCAGAGAGGUAUUGCCACUACAUACAUCUGGAGUCAGGAUGCACCUGGGCUGGGGUUCUUCUCUUGCGGGAGGUGAGGCCUUGUGCUGUCACUUAACCCCACCAUGCCAGCAUUUUCUUCUUUGGGACAAUGGAGAAAAUAGAUUCUGCAGGGUUGAUACACCAAAUGAGAUGUUUAGGAAGGACCUCACAUUCUCCUUUAUUCCAUUUGGUAGGUAUUUGUGAAUGCCCACUGGGGUUAAGGCUCUGAUGGGUGAACAAGACAAAAUCUCUGACUGUGUCAGCUCAUGGACUAGUGAGUGAUACAAAUAAUCCGCCUCUGAUGUCUGGGUGGGGCUGAGGCCAGGAUAGGGGAAAUGCAGGGUGUUGUGGAAGUUCAGGGGAAGGCCUGCUGUCCAGGAUGUUAGGAAAGUGGGUGAAGAAGGCUUUCUGGUAGAAACGCUGCAUGAGUCCCCAGAACGAAUAUGAGGCGAAGGUGUUCCUCACAGCCAUUACUUUCCCAAUCCAUUCAUGCAGGACAGAUGUGGCGUCACCUCCCACUCCCUCCUGACUGAGGGAUGGGGGUGUGGCCCACGCUGGCCAGUGGGAAAGGAAGAGAAUGUUUGCUGGAAGACUUCUGGGAGACUUCCUUGUUCAUAGGAGAGGUGCAGGAUUAGAGAGCCUCUUUCUGCACUUGAACAUUGCCCUAUCUGGAUGUUGGUCCUGGAACAUCUAUUUCAGAAAAGGCCAGAUCAGAGCUGGAAAGAGCCUGUGUCCUUGCUGGCAUCACUGGAUCCCAGAGUGUGACCCGCGUGCGCCCAGCCUGCCUUCUGAUUUCAUUUUGUGUGACUGUGAAUUGCCUUUGUGCCUAAGCCCGCUUGAGGAGGGGGUUCCUCUUUACUCACAGCACAAAGCAGACAUCCUGAUAUGCCUCUCUCCUUCAGCCUCAAAGUCCUCCUGGUAGAAGGACAGUAACUCUGCCUACUCGACGUUUGUUGGGAGACCUGCAGGAGACGAUAGAUGGGAAACACCUAGCUGAUAUUACCUGGCACAUGGAAGGCAUGGAGUAAGAGGCAGCGCUGUCUGUCCUGCUUCUUUAAUCCACAGCACCCGGCCUGCAGAUGAUUUUAUUUAUUUAUUCAUUAGAGACACAGAGAGGCAGAGACAUAAGAAGGAGAAGCAGGAUCCCUGUGGGAAGCCCGAUGCAAGACUCGAUUCCAGGACCCUGAGAUCACAACCUGAGCCAAAGGCAGAUGCUCAACCACUGAGCCACCCAGGUGCCCCUUAUUCUUCUUUUUACUCUUUCAUCUUAAACUGGAGAUGGCAUUGAUUAACCAGUUAUAUUCUAAAUCUGGCGAUUAUGUCGCUUGGGUUUCAGUUAUUGAGCCACCCUUAUUUCCUGUGCUAACCCACUUGAUCAUGGUGUAUUUUCUCUGAAUAUUGCUGGAUUCCAUUGCUGGUAUUUUGUGGAGGAAUUUUGUACUUGGGAUGAGAAAGAUUAUUGGUCAGUAGUUUUCCUGGUGUCAGUGAAAUGCUAGCCUCAUAAAUCACUUGCAAGUGUUUCCUCUGCUUCUGUUUUCUGGAGGAAAUUGUGUAGAAUUUGUGCAUGCAUGCAUUUUUCCUGUCGAUAAUUGGUGGAAUUCACCAUUGAUACCAUCUGGGAUUUUUGUCAAAGUUUUUAACAACUGAUUCAAUUUCUGUGAACGGUAGUGAACUCUGCAUGUUACUUCACCUUGGGUGAGAUUUGGCAGUUUAUAGGUUUUGGAUAAUCAAUCCAUUUCCAAGUUGUUGCAUUUAUAUAUGUGGAAUUGAAUGUAAUAUUGCUUUAUCAUUUCUUUCAUAUUUGCUGGGUCUCUAGUGAAAUCUCUUCUUUCAUUCCUGCUAUUGGAAACUUAUUUCUGGGCGGCCCGGGUGGCUCAGCGGUUUAGCGCCUGCCUUCAUCCCAGGGCAUGACCCUGGAGACCCCGGAUCAAGUCCCACAUUGGGCUCCCUGCAUGGAGCCUGCUUCUCCCUCUGCCUCUCUCUCUGUCUCCUCUCUGUGUAUUCUCAUGAAUAAAUAAUAAUUUUUUUUAAAAAAAGGAAACUUAUUUCUUCUCUCCUUCUUUCCCUCUCUUUUUCUCCAGUUCUCUUGAGAUAUAACUGACACGCAGCAGCUCAUAAGGGAUACAGCAUAAUACUUUUACUUCCAUGUAUCAUGAAAGGAUUACCAGAAUAAGCUUACUUGGCAUCCAGCAUCUCAGAUAGAUACAAAAAGAAAACCGUGUUUUCCUUGUGAAGGGAGCUCUUAGAAUUUACCCUCUUAACAACUUUCAUUUAUAUCACACAGUAGUAUUAACUAGAGUCAUCAUGUUGCACAAUAUAUCCCCAGCACUUAUUUAUCUUAUAACUGGAUGUUUGUUCCAUUUCACCAACAUCUUCCAGUUUUUUCUCCCUCCCCAAAUCUCCACCUCUGAUAACCACAAAUCUUAUGUCUUUUUCUAUAUAUUUAGGAGGCUUUUUCCAAUUCCAUGUAUGAGUGCGAUCAUACCAUGUGCGUCUUUCGAUGGCUUAUUUCACUUAGCAUAAUGCCCUCAAGAUCCAUCUAUGUUGUCACAAAUGGCAGGGUUUUCUCCUUUUUUAUGGCUGAAUAAUAUUCGGGUGUGUGUGUGUGUGUGUGUGUGUGUGUGUGUUCUUGAUCCAUUUAUCCAUAAAAGAUACUUAGGGGGCAGCCCAGGUGGCCCAACAGUGUGGCGUCACCUUCGGCCCAGGAUGUGAUCCUGAAGACCCGGGAUCGAGUCCCACGUCAGGCUUCCUGCAUGGAGCCUGCUUCUCCCUCUGCCUGUGUCUCUGCCUCUGUGUGUGUGUGUGUGUGUGUGUGUGUGUGUGUGUGUGUGUGUUUCCCAUGAAUAAAUAAAUAAAAUCUUAAAAAAAAGACACUUAGGGUUGUAUCCAUAUCUUGGCUAUUGUAAAUAAUGCUGCUAUGGACAUGGGGUGCAGAUAUGUCUUUGACAUAGUGUUUUUAUCUCUUUCAGAUAUAUUCUCAGAAGUGGAAUGUCUGCAUCAUAUGGUAGUUCUAUUUUUAAGUUUUUAAGGAGUCUCCAUACAUUUUUUUAAAAUAUUGUAUUCAUUUAUUUGAGAGAGAGCGAGCACGAGCAAGGGGAGGGACAGAGGGAGAGGGAGAAGCAGACUCCCCACUGAGCAGAGAGCCUGACACGGGGCUCCAUCCCGGGACCCCAGGAUCAUGACCUGAGCCAAAGGCAGAUGCAUAACCAACUGAGCCACCCAGGUGCCCCUCCAUACUGUUUUCAAUAGUGCUGUGCCAAUAUACAUUUGUGCCAAAGUGUACAGGAUUUCUUUUUUUUUUUUCCUUAAGAUUUUAUUUAUUUAUUUGAGAGAGAAGCACUGAGCUCCCCACUGAGCAGGGAGCCUGGGAUCAUGACCUGAGCCAAAGGCAGACACUUAACUGACUGAGCCACCCAGGUGCCCCUCUUUCUUUUUUAAAGAUUUAAUUAUUUGAGAGGGAGAGAGUGCGCUGGGUGGGCAGAGAGGGAAACUUAAGCAGGCUCUGUGCUGAGCGUGGAGCCCAACUCAGGUCUCCAUCUCAGGACCCUGAGAUUACAACCCGAGCUGAAACCAAGAGUUUGGAUGCUCAACCAAAUGCACCACACAGGUGCCCCAUGAUUUCUUUAUUCUCCACAUCCAAGCCAGCAUUUUUAUCUCUUGUUUUUUCAAUACUAGGCAUUCUAACAGGUGUGAGGUGAUACCUCAUUGUGGUUUGGGUUUGCAUUUCUGCCACAGAUCCAGGAUAGUCGGAGGCUACGAUAUGAAGAAAGACUCGGGAGUCCUGCUGAAUUUUAAUCUGGGGGACAGGGGGACCAAGAGUCAGACUUGGACUCGGACUCAAAGCAGACUCGGACUCCGACCCCGAGGCUUUGUCUCCUCCAGUUUUUAUUAAGAGAGUUAGCAGAUUGGCUAUAGGAAUUAUUAACUUUGAGAAGCAGAGAAAAACAUGUUUACUUCAAAGGGUAAAAGAAUAAGCGGUUGACUCAGAGGAGGGGGUGGGGAGCAGAGGAGCUGUAUCUGGAGAACAAGGUGGUCAAGAGUCAGUGUGCUGACUCAGGAUCUCUCAUGUCCCCAGUGUGCUGAGGACUACGAGAUUCAGUUCUCAGAUAGGCUCCGCAGGUGGUUCCCCACACAUUUCUCUGAUAAUUAUUGGUUUGGAGCACUUUUCAUCUCUCUAUUG